AAACGACAAAGGCAAAACCACCGAAAGGUGGCGACGCAAAGUCACCGGCCUGUCGGGCGCAUUGCGCCCGUGGUAGCGGGACCGCCGGA
rnacentral:ncRNA from 1 species